GGUCAUUUUCAGAUGACCUGCCCCAUAGAUCACAAGGUCUGAAAGUGGUCAUUUUCAGAUGACCUGCCCCAUAGAUCACAAGGUCUGAAAGUGGUCAUUUUCAGAUGACCUGCCCCAUAGAUCGCAAGGUCUGAAAGUGGUCUUUUU
rnacentral:sRNA from 1 species